AUUAAAAUAGUUUAAGUUAAAACAAGGAUUUGUGGGAUCCUAAAUCCUACUAGGUUUUAAUU
rnacentral:tRNA from 1 species